rnacentral:lncRNA from 1 species
CAUGGACUUCCUGCUUCCGUGGUUCCCGUCAGUCCCCGUGUUUUCCCUUCUUGGAAGGACUUCUCAUGUAUUCUGAACAUUUCGCAGGCUGUGGAUCACUGUGGGACUGUCCCCAUUUCCGCCAGGUGGGCCCGGGGCGCUGCCCCUCAGCAGCUCUGACAGCCCGUCUGCUCUGUCUCAUCAACACGUGACUCAGGCCUGCGGGCAUCUCACCAGCUCUGGAAGAUCUGCAGAUCCACGAACAUUAUCGCCUACCAUGCCUGCCACAGCAACCCUCACGAGUCGACCUGGUCAGCAGCACCCAAGAAGCUUCCAAGUGGGAAAGCACAGCCCCGCCACUUUACAGAUAAC